UUUAAAGUCUAAUCUGCUCGAUGAGGAGUUAAAUGGCCGCGGUAUUUUGACCGUGCAAAGGUAGCAUAAUAAUUAGUUUUUUAAUUGAGAGCUGGAAUGAAUGAUUGGACGAGAAAAAAGCUGUCUCAUUUUAAUUUUUUUAGAAUUUUAUUUUUUAGUAAAAAAGCUUAAAUUUUUUUAAAAGACGAGAAGACCCUAUAGAGUUUUAUAUAAAUUUAAUUAUAGAAUAUAUGGAUUUUUUAUAUUUAUAUUUAAUUUUAUAUUUUGUUGGGGUGAUGGAAAAAUUUAAUAAACUUUUUUUUAAUAAAAUGGUACAUUUAUUUAUGAUUAUUUGAUCCAAUAAUUUUGAUUAUAAGAUUAAAUUACCUUAGGGAUAACAGCGUAAUUUUUUUUUAGAGUUCUUAUCGAAAAAAAAGAUUGCGACCUCGAUGUUGGACUAAAAUUAAUUUUUGGUGUAGAAGCUGAAUAAUUAGGUCUGUUCGACCUUUAAAAUUUUACA
rnacentral:rRNA from 1 species